GCUAGCCGUGGCUCUGUUGGUUGUUGGGCUGCUCUCUCCUCGCCCAGGAUCAGGAUAGGAAGGAUCAGUCGAUGGAGUGCAUGAAGCACCCUGCUAUCCUAUGUUUUCCCUCCAGAUUCGAAUUCUGAGCCUGUGUUUGUGUCCAUUCGCCUGGAGUAUGUCGAUGCAUUGACUCUAAACCUGACACUCGGUCUGGGUCUGCCAUUCACUGUUCAAUAUUAUUUCGGGGAGAGGAUCGAUCAUCAGUGUGACGUGUGCAAGUGGGGACACUAACGUACAUGUGAACCUUAUGCUGAAUAUUAACAAUGGUGCAGUGUCUAUUCCAGCUCACUACAUCCAGAAUGAUUGCAUGGACCAGAUCCACUACCUUGACUAUACACACCGGGGGCUAACGGAGUUGGGUUUGCAAGGCUACUACACAUGCAGGACAGAGGGAGAUACUUACCUUAGCUCUCACAUUCUACAUCCCAACGAAGGAAUGGCUCUCUCAACAAUGCUCGUGGCUAUCAGUGGAGUGGUGGCCUACAGUCCUAGCUUCUUCCCAAACCAGUUCCUUGAAACUGAUUACAAUCUGCGAGAUGUAUAUGCAGCAUAGGAGGAGAAGCAGACACACUGUACAGGACUAGCAGUUACUUGUACCACUUAUCAACCACCAAGAAGAAGUGAGUCUUUGUGCAGGAAUGUCUUUUAUGGUAGAGUGGUCAAAAACCACCUGCUAGAAAAGUGUUCUGCAUGCAUGCAUCGUACUUUACUAGCUAUUCUUGCAGCUAUAAAACAAUGUCUGUUCUGCACACGCACACACACACACAUGCACACACACACACACACACAUAAUUAUAUACACACAGCCUUCUGUACGGGUGAUCCUCAUCUCACCAACCUUGAUGGAGCUAAGUUCACAUUCAAUGGUUGGGGAGAGUAUAAUUAUUCUACUGGAGUUAACUAUUGACACCACGUUCUGGAUCCAAGUUCAUAUGCAACCACUCCCAGAGUCUACUACUAAAGCUACUGAACUAGGUGGUUUCACUUUCACUAUGAGCAGGGACACUCCCGUUGAAGUGAGUGAGAGAAAAGAAUUGCUUAUUACCAUCACAUGCUGUUGUGUCAAGGGUCGAUCAAGACUACCCAAGAGUGUGGCCAGGGGCGGGGGUCUAGAGUUCUUGAACUCAUUACUCUGGUACUGGUUUCUAAAGACUGUACCCCACGAUGGACUGGAAGAGAUAGCCGAGCUAUAGU